GGGCGGAUAGCUCAGUUGGGAGAGCGCCUCCCUCGCACGGAGGAGGUCGAGGGUUCGAAUCCCUUUCCGUCCACCA
rnacentral:tRNA from 1 species